CCCAACUCGCAAAUUUGCCAAGGGGAGUCUCUCAAAUGCCAAGUUUACUAAAAUGCUAAACCCAUAUGCAAAACCAUUGGAGAAGUGAUUUUUAACUUUUUAGCAAAUAACACAAAUGUCAAACUAGAAUGCCUUCGCACCUGGAAUUAGCCAGUGGACCAAAUCGGAUCGACCCAGGGCAGAAGAGGAGCAAAAGGGUCGUGACCCUAUCGACCCCCGGUGACCCUCGGGUCGACCCUGCGACUCGCCUCAUAGCUGUAGCUACUCACCGCCGCUGCCACCCUCCUCCGCCAUUGCCGUCGCUGCUGCCGCCACCCCGUCCUCCUCCUCCUUCUCCACCACUUCCCUUACCCUACCCUGGAUGUACCACUCGUCUCUUCUGCCCGUCGCGGAUCUGGCGAGUUGCCUUCUCCAUCUGUAUCGCCUAGGAAGAGGAAGCAGAGGAGCAGCGCCGCCGCCUUGUUCUUGGUGGCCAUGUCGUUCGUCGUCGUCUGUUGUGCGGUGAAUCAGAGAAAGGCUGGAUAGCCGGCCGGGGAGAUUUCAGGCCGGGACACCAACGCGCCGCCGUCGGAUGCGGACGGAACAGGACUUCUACUUCUACAAGAGGAACAAUUGGAGGAGAAACACAUGAUGCUGAUGAUCUGUACAAAAUUUUAGUAAAGGGAGACCCUUUUCACCUGUACUAAAUCAUAUGCCUGAAUGGGAAGAAAGUGUUCUUGUUUGAACUCAUCAAUGUUCUUAGUUUGACUGUCUUUAUUUUCACCCUAUCUCAUGAAGUUUCCUCAUUCGCUUACAUAACAGAGUAACCUUAAGCGCUUUUUAUCAAAAAAAGAUAGCUUCGGUAAUACAUGUCCACAAGUGCAUGGGAACCUGCAACUGAAAGUAUAGCAUAUUUAUUUGGUGUUGGCAUCUCACUGGACAGUUUUCAUAAGCAUGUUGUAGAUGUCAUUUAAUAUUCUUGGUUUUAGAGUUCAAAAUGUUGUAUCUUUGAAUUUACAAGAUAGGUUAAUUAUAAGUAUUUGCAAUUUACAGUCUAUGUAUUUAUCUGCAAAUUGUUUGGAGAAUGUUAGUUGCGAGUUAAUAUUAUUUACUUAAGGGAGUUAAUAUUAUUUACUUAAGGCUUUAGGGUAUGCAUAUGGCUCUUUGUUAUUAGAUAACUCAGUAUCUUUACUUUGCUAAAUGAAGUAACUGUGUGGUAAACAUUACUUCCUUCUUGCUUGUUGGGUAUACUAUAUUAGUUUUACAGUAUAUUACCCCGAGACCAGAGAAAUGAGUCUUUGUCAUAUCAUUUUCAAUCAUUGUCUUUGUUUGUAAUUGUGUGCCCUCAUGUAUGUAGUACUAAAUCAUAUGCUGAUGUGAUUUAGAAGUUAGCAUAUGAGCUUUAACUUUACUACUACUGUCAUGAAUUUACUAACUAAUUAUAUGCAGUGUUAUUCAGCUUGGUAUGCACAUGUUCCAAGACUUGAGAUUCUCACACCAUACUCUUGCAGAAGAUGUCUGAGGCUUGCUCAAAGCUGCUACUGCUAUUAGGGAUCUGGAUCCUUUUAUUUUCCUGGAUAAUAAAUCGUUGUAUGUCAGUGUGAUCUUGUUGAAUCAUUUUGCUAGGUACCUAUCAUUUUGAAGUUGUCUAAAUUAUUUGUAGGAUGAAAUGUUCUCAAGGUCAUGUAAAUGAUAUGCUUAUUUUACUCCUGCAGUGGAAAUGCACUUUCUGUUCUGAAAUAUUAAGAUAGCUUAUA